CCUACGGGUGGCAGCAGUGAGGAAUAUUGGUCAAUGGACGCGAGUCUGAACCAGCCAAGUCGCGUGAGGGAAGACGGCCCUAUGGAUUGUAAACUUCUUUUGUCGGGGAGUAAAAGCAGCCACGUGUGGCUUUCUGAGAGUACCCUAAGAAUAAGCAUCGGCUAACUCCGUGCCCGCAGCCGCGGUAAUACGGAGGAUGCGAGCGUUAUCCGGAUUUAGUGGGUUUAAAGGGUGCGGAGGCGGAGGGAUAAGGUAGGGGUGAAAGUUGGCGGCUAAACUCUGGAAUGGCUGUUGAUACUGGUUGUCUUGAGUGUAGUAGCGGUAGGCGGAAUGCGUGGUGUAGCGGUGAAAUGCAUAGAGAUCACGCAGAACUCCGAUUGCGAAGGCAGCUUACCG
rnacentral:rRNA from 1 species